rnacentral:rRNA from 1 species
UACGUAGGGUGCAAGCGUUGUCCGGAAUUAUUGGGCGUAAAGAGCUCGUAGGCGGUUUGUCGCGUCUGCUGUGAAAACUCGGGGCUUAACUCCGGGCCUGCAGUGGGUACGGGCAGACUAGAGUGCGGUAGGGGAGAUUGGAAUUCCUGGUGUAGCGGUGGAAUGCGCAGAUAUCAGGAGGAACACCGGUGGCGAAGGCGGCAUCCUGGACCGGCAUUGACGCUGAGGCGCGAAAGCCAGGGGAGCAAACGGG